rnacentral:lncRNA from 1 species
UUUAAAUAAGUAGAUGAUUAGUAUUAUUGAAAGGCUCAUAAAUAGAUAUUCGAGUUUAUUUUAAUACCCUUCAGAUUCAGAUAUGGAUUCUUCGCUCCUCUCACAUUCGUUCGAGCUGCUUCGCUCCUUCCUUCUAUCACUUCUUUCAUAACAUCUGUUAGCAAUCAUUAGUUAUUCUUUCUCUUUCUCUAAGGUAAUUCACAGCACACUUCGUAUAUGUAUGAUUGAAUGUCGACACCAUGAGAAAAGACUAGCCUAGAGUUCAUCAUGUUCAAGCUAUCAAGCUAGUCGAAUCCUACUACCCUUACUUAACCACCGGGAGUAGAUUCGAUAACAAGAUUCUUACAAAGAGAAAGCACUAACCUCUAGUCUCGAUUUUCCCUUUCUUCCUCUACCCUUUGUGGCCCAUAGCCAUAG